GGGAAUGAAUUUCUUGAUUCAAAUGGGGGGGCUAAGGACCAUUUUCAGUGAGUUCGUUAAAGAGCGAUGUUGAUUAGGUUUAAAAUAAAUUCUCUUUCUUUGAAGUUUGUGUCUUUUCUAUUUUCCAAGCACGUUACUAGAAAAUUUACCCUUCCAAACGCGUUUUCUCUCUCAAACAUUGUUUAGUAGGAGAAGAAUAGAUAGGACGAAGGAAGAUAUUUAUUUAAUAUUUGCAACAUUUUCUCACCGUUAAUAUUAUUCUUCGAUUUCUGUUUUGAUUUUUAAUGUAGAUUAAAAAACAGCUGAUGACUUGACUUUGAAGCUUGAUUAUGGAAGCUUCUGCUUGGAGCUUAAUAUUCCUAAAGUCGUUGAAAAGGCUGGGGACACGUCUUCUAUUGGACUUGACGAGAUAGAAAUGCUGGGACUGAAUAUUCAGCCAAUAGCAUCAUCCUCCACUGUAGACAGUGAAAUGUUAAAAUUAGUAGAGAAUUGGAAUUUGCUAUGCAGAAAUUCUUCCAGGUUUGAGGCGGUUUCUUCGUAUGGCAGUUCUGGGUGAGACAAACCGUCAGUAUACAAUGAAUAUAGUGUGUGUGAAGAUGUUAGCAACAUCCUAAAAUUUCUUUUCGUGGUACCAAUUUGGUUCUAAUAUAUUUUUUUUGCAAUGACUUGACUUGAUUUGUAUAGUAUCACGCUAAAAAAAUUACAAUUUGGGCUAGUAGACAUUUAUUUCUUCGUAACAUUUAAAUAUCUAAACAAUGAUAUUGAAUUAAAGCUAAAGAUUCAAACUACCAUUUACAUAGCACAGUUUCUUUAAUAUUGGUAAUAAAAUUGAAAUUAAAUUACCCUCUAAAAUGAAAUUUGGUUCAAAGCUAGUGUUCUUAUGAUAUGAUCGUGAUUGAAUUCGCAUAUGUUUGGCAAAAAGAAUAAUCUUUCCUUUGAAAAUAAUCAAAAAUUCAAAGUAUUCAAUCGGAAUAUGGAAUUGAGUGACUUCGAUUGUUUUUGUUACCUUAUGUCUGUAUAUUUCUCUCAACAUGGAGAGAAAUAUAGAGAAGAUGGUCCUGGUGUGACAUUUCUAUAACCUAUGCAUGACUGACAGCUGUUAUUUCUCCUCAUCUUGCACUCAAGCUGCUGCUUGUUCAAACUUUUGAUCAAAUGUGUCCAAAUCUGUGAAAGAGUAUUUUUGGUCCAUUUUCUCAGGAUCUGAUUCACUUGAAGAAAACUCUAAUUUGAGAUUCAACUCCAACAGACUACAUUGUCUGAAGGGCUAGUUUUCCAUGUAGCUAUGUGGCAG
rnacentral:lncRNA from 1 species